CAACUUUAGAAAAGUUGCAGCAGAAAAAAAUCAGCACGCAAAAAUCGGUUGCAUUUCUAUACACAAUGAACAACGUCAACAGAAAAUUAGAGAACAAUACUAUUUACUAUACCAUCAAAAGGGAUAGAAUACUUAGGAAAUACUAGUGAAGGAGGUGAAAGACUUGUACUCUGAACACUACUAAACGUUGCUAAAAGAAGUCCAUGCAGACACAAAUAAAUUAAAAGACACCUUGUACUCAUGGAUUGAAAGACUUAGGAUUCUUAAAAUGACCAUAUUACCGAAUAUGUUCUAUAGAUGCAAUGGAAUCCCUAUUAAAAUUUCAGUGGCAAUUUUUGCAGUAAUAGAAAAAAAUCUUGUGAAAAUUUCUAUAGCAUCUCAAGGGACCCCAAAUAGCCAAAAUAGUCUUCAAAAAGGAAUUGGAGGCUGACAUUUUUAGAUUUCAAAAUUCAUUACAUUUUGUAAUUACAAAGUAAUCAAGAUGAUGUGGUACUGGCAUAAACACAGCUACAUAAACCAGUGGAGCAGAUGAGAAAACUAAGAAAUAACCCUUGGUAAAUACAAAAAAUGUACUGGCAAGGAUGCCAAGACUACACAAAGAGGAAAGGACAGUCUCAAUAAGAAAUGGUACUGAGAAAAUAGAUACCUACUAGCAAAAGAAUGAACCUGGUGGGGGUGGACUUCCCUCGUGGUCCAGUGGUUAAGAAUCAGUCUUGCAAUGCAGGGGACGCCAGUUCGAUCCCGAUCAG